GGCCGGAGAUGUAUGUGAAACCGUGCGGUUGUGUUCCGUGACUGAGGCGUGCUUGAUUGAGGAGUAUAUGUGGGGUGAAAAUGACAGACACUUCAUUACGGGAUGCACUGACGCUCAGCUGUGCAGUAAUACAAGAAAACGAGCCGUGGCUGAGCUGGACAGGGAAGGGAGGAAUGUGCCAGUCUGUUCUCAUUGUUGUACAACAGAUUUCUGCAACUCAAACUGCACAGAUGCCAGCAUAAU